GCCAUAUCCCUAGCUGAACUGGUAGAGCAUAGCAUUAACGUUGCCAGGGUUAGGGGUUCGAUUCCCACUGGUGCCA